rnacentral:lncRNA from 10 species
CUGGCUAGAGGGACGGAAUAUGCUGUAGACUUAAGUUAAGCAAGACCUCUUCCUGGAACUGGGAGAAGGUCAUUUCAGCCUUAGCCACCUGGCUUGAAAGUCCAAGGUCCUGUAGGAAUGGAGAAUGGAGGCUGACAUGGCACACCUAUUCGCCGAGGCAUCACCUGGAUCCUACAGAGUCAGAGUAAAGAAGUAUAACUUGACAUUUCUUCUGCAAGAAAAAAACAAGAAGAUGGUGACUUUCAAGACCUCAGUCAAUGACUAAAGUUCUGUGACCACAGUGAGGAAAUGGUUGCACCAAGAAGAUACCCAACAGAAUCUGGAUGCCCAGAAACAAGACCUAAGAUGACAUUUCCUACUCUGCCCCUUUGGAAGUUCACAGAAGUCUUAGCGUGGACCUUGAACCCUCAUCAGAUGUAGAAUUGCUGUUAGAAUCCCCUACAGCCUUGGCCAUCAGUGAUGGUGAAAGCAACAGAUGUCAGAUGUCAGCCCCUGGCUUCCUGCCUUACCGUAGAGGGAUACUCGACAGACAGACUGGACAGAUCACUCAUGCUGGGGAAAGCCAGGUGUCAUGUCUUGGGGAAUCCAGGUGUUAUGUCUUAAGGACAGGCUGGCAGACCUGUGCAUACGCCCAUGUAGCGAGAAACUAGACCCUCAGCUCAAGACACUGAAAGAAACCUCAUGAAACAACUUGAAGCUCUGACCCUGAACCACCUAGCUAAACUGCUCUUAGAUACCUGAUUCUCAGAUACUAUUGAGAAAAUAAACAAUAAUUAUUUUAUGUUGCUACAUUUUGGGAGUAAUUUGUUACAUGAUAAUAGCUACACGUUGAAGAGCAAAUUAUUCACGCUCUGUUUUUCAGUUUCCUCAUCUGCACAAUGGAGUACCGAUUUUAUGAUGUGGUUGUGAGGAUUUAAGAGAUCAUCCACAGAGAAGUGCAACAGAGUACAGGGUCAGAAGUCAGCACCCC